CAACUGGAUCUGAAGCGUAAUGAUGGUCUUCAGAAGGCCUCUCAUGGUGGCCUUGAUUCAGAGGUUUGAGAAGACUACCAAGCACCAGAGCCAGCUAACAGGUGGACCAAACAUCAAGCCAGAAUUCUGCAUGAGUCAGAAUCUUUUGAUAAUAUUGCCCAAUGCAACAAAUGGAAAAAGCAUGCUUUAUGACAACCUCAGCAGCAGAACCCAUGACUUUCUCCUGGGUAGACGAGAAAAAAUAGUUUGGUAUCAACACCCAUCUAACAAUUAAGGUAAAAGAUAAAGUUUUAUGAUCACUGCAUUCAGGUUAGAGUAUGGGGUAAGUUGACCGUUCUAUGGGUGUUCCUCAAAUGCAAGGUUGCAUGUGGAGGCUGCGUCCAUCUUAGUCCUGGCCUUCUGAGAUUUCGAUGUUAGAAAAAAGCCAGAAUGAGAUGGUUUAGUUUGAUGUCCAAGGCAACGUCAUAAUGGUUUCCGCCCCAGUGAUCAUGGCAUGAAAACUUUAAAGAGAGAAGUUGAAAAUUAGCAAUGCAUCACCAAAAAAAUCCAAUAAUGUAGUACAGUGAAUAAAAGUCAUGUAUCAACUGUCUUUACAACAUGGACAGUUAAACAUUUUGUAAUUAAAUUAAAACAACAAAAUAGAAAACAAGCAGAUUGAGAUGUCCUUCGACGAUGCUUGAUGACGUGGCAGCCGAGACAUGCAGCCUUCUAGGACGGAGCCUUAUUUAAAAAAAUAAUAAUAAUAAGGACGGAGCCUUAUUUAUUUUUAUUUUAUAUAUGUAUAAUGUCCCCCUUUGUAUUUCUUAUUAUUUAAAAAAAAUAUUAAAAAUAAUUUUAAAAGGACGCAGCUGUGCGUUUGAGAAACGACCGGAAACGACUUAUAUGUCGCGAGGCCAUCACGUGACCACAAUAUUUACCAGAAGACCGUUAUUUGCUCGAGUACCCUCAACUUUUUUGUCGCAAAUAACAUUAUUAAUAACCUGUAAAUAAUAAAUUUUGUACACAUUACGUUCCUCUUCACUUUGUAAUAGUAUGUUUUUUGGUUUAAUAGUCGGCUUUAAGUUAGUUUUUCUGUCAGUUUGAUCGUCAAAAUCUUGAAAGUUAUCUGCAGCCACACAUCCACUGUAUACCAAGUUAUGAUGAACAAUUAUGAAAAUGCAAAAGGAUUGAUAGAUCAGUAAACAAGCAACAAAAAGAUGGGUGCUCAUGGUGGCCUCCAAAUAAAUACAUGGACAGGCUGCUAAAGAGGGUCAGGAUGAUGGAGAUGCAAGAGCCAAAGACAGCACAGACCAAACACCAGGCCAGAAUUCUGCAUGAGUCAGAUUGAGUAAUUUUCACUCUAGAGACCCUUGGGUGACCACCAAGGACGACGAAUGCAAACUCCAGUGAGUGUCUCUAAGGUAGAUCCUAAUGCAGAUGGAUGGAAUGUUGAUCCGCCUAACAUGCAAGAGCACUCGUUUUGAGUCCUGAGACCCUGGGGUGACCACCGUGAACAAAUACAGAAGCACUCAAUUUGAGUCCUGAGACCCUGGGGUGACCACCGUGAACAAAUACAGACUGCAAUAGCAGUCUUGACGGUACUAGGAUGAAUGCAAAUAAAGACUAACCACCUGACAUCAGCUGUCCAGUCUCUUGUGGGAAGCAGGUGCUUGUUACCCCAAAUACGGAUGAAGAGUGACGAAGAGGAUGAUGACUUU